rnacentral:lncRNA from 1 species
CAGGCACCACCAGGCCAACAGUAUUGGGCCCAACCCAGAGCCAGGCUUUUAGGGCUCUGGGGCUCACCCCUCCUCCUGAUCACAUGACCUGGGUCCUGGGGGCUGCACAGGGAGGGGAGGGGGCCAGCGCUGGCUUCCAACUCCCUCCUGUGCAAUGUGCAGGCUACACUAAGAGCCUAUGCCCACCGCGUCUGUUACCAGUUGAGGAUAGUUGUCCAAGUUCUUGGCAUUUUGAACAAAGAAUUAGACCAAAUGCACAAAGCAAGGCAGCAAAAGCAGAGAUUUAUUUUAAACGAAAGUACACUCCACAGGGUGGGAGCGGGCUCGAGCAAGAGGCUCAAGAGCCUGGGCUACAGGAUUUUCUGGGGUUUAAAUACCCUCCAGGGGUUUCCCAUCUGUUCACUCUAUGCACAUAAAGUAGUGGCCCGCAACCAGUCUGAUUGGUUGCGGGAGGGAACCAAUCCGAGGUACUUUCAUUUCCAACUGCCAGGCAGCAACUGCCAUGCAGAAAAAGGAGGGGUUGAAAGGGAGUAGCCUCUGAUAUCCAGUCAGCAUGCAUCGAACUUAGGUUCCCUGCCUCCAGACCCUAUUCUCCUGCCUCAUUUCCCCCGAGAGACAUGAUCCCCAGAAAUCUUUAUGGGAGACAGAGUGACUGAUGGUCUUUCUUCUGUAACUGCGUCACCCUGACUUGAGGUGCAGUCCCUACCUAUUGGGGAUCCCCGAACUCCUGCCUUUAUCUAUCGAGUGGAGACUGGGUAGUUUCUUGAUGGCCAGGGGUGCUGCCUUCAUUUGGAACAGGCUGGAAACCUUGUCACAGGAUCAUCUGAAACUUGAUGGUCUCUAGGAGCUUAGGCAUUGAGAAGCAGAAGCCAGGAAGGUGGUAACAUACCUGUGUUUCCUGGACAGCCCCAUCCCAACAGGAUGGCAGACCUGGAACUUGCUCCUAAUCAAUAGAAUACAGCAAAGGCAUGGGAUGCAGGUGAUUCUGUGUACAUGGUUACGUAACUAAAUAGAUAAGAUUGUAGCACCUGUCUUGCUGGAGUGUUUCACACUCUUGCUGGCUUUGAUGAAGCAGGUGGCCAUUUGAGGCCCAACUGAGAGUGGCCUGUAAAACUGAGGGCAGCUGACAGCCAGCAAGAAAAUGAGCCUUCAGUCCUGUAAAUGCAAGGAACUGAAUUGUGCCAAGAGCUGCAUGAGCUUGGAAGCAGAUCCUUCCUCAGUCAAGCUUCCAGAUGAGGACCCAGUCCUGACCCAUACUUUGAUUGCAGGCUUGCAGAGGGCCCAGCUCAGCCAUUCCAAGAUUCUUGACCCACAGAAGCUGAGAGAAUACAUAUAUGCAUCGCCUGCCUCUGAAUUUGUGAUAAUAUUGUUCUGCAGAUAUCUAUAUCUAGCUAUCAUAAAUGAUGUAUGUAAACAACCACAUAUCACACAUUUGUUUGGCCAAGCAUGGUAUCCCAUCCCUCUGACCACGGUGAUUGGCACAGAUAAGGGCACUUGACAAAGCUAGGCCAAUCAGCCUUCUUCCCUGGGAUUUUGUAAACAAAGGCAGAGAAAAAGGAGCCUUGUCUUUCCUCUCCGCUUGCUCAGAUGGUAUGAAGUAAGUUUAUGGUUGUGAAAUUCAUGUUCUUCUCCUACAGCAUGGAGGAAACGCUACACAGCAGGAAAGAAUAAAACUGGCUCACAAAGAGGAGCCCUGAGACACACUGAAAAAGGCUGGUUGCCAUAAUCUGAGUAGCAGGGACUGCCACACCUGAGGCCAGCCCAGCCCUAGAUAUCCCAGGUACACGAGCCAUUAAAUUCCUCUUUUUGCUUGUCCUGGCUCCCAUUGUGUUCCCCGAGCUCCUGGAGGUCAGAGCAUCUGCCAACUUCCACAUAACGUCCCCAGAUGGCCCAGCUCAGAAAGUUUUUCCAGAAUAAGUAUAGUAAAUGGUGAAUGGAUGUGAGAACCUUACUAUAUGUCAAGGUCCCCAAAGAGCAUUCACUUAUAUGACCUUAUUUGAUCUUUACAAACAAUCCUGCAUAAUCAUUACUGCAUGAGUUAGAUGGUUUUGACCAUUAUUAUUGGGAAAACCCCAAUAAAAUGGCUUAAAUCAUAAGAGGAUUUACGAAUUCAUAUGAGAAUCUCCCCAGGGACAUUCCAGGCUCAUAAGUCCAUUCAGUUUUGCUUUCCUGUGAGUCUUACGGCUCCACACCUCUUGCCAUUGGCUUCAACCUGAGGUCAAUAUAAAGGUGGCAAGCAGCUCUGGGCAUCACAUGCAGACCUAGCAGUGCUCAGGGGAAGAGGAAUAACCAUCUCUUCCUUUCAUGUACUUUCUUCUUUUCAGACAUAUUUUUAAGUGAAAUUAUAUAUCUAUAUGUGUGUAUGUAUAUAUAUAUGUGUAUAUAUAUAUAUAUGUUGGUUUCAUUUUAGUUCUAGAGUCUUUUUUUUUUUUUUGAAAAAUGAUGUUAUUUUGCAGCUUACCCCCCUUGUGUUUCUAUCAGUUUUACAACAUUCUCUAAUUCAGUGGCUCUCAAGUGUGGUCUGGACCAUCAGCAUCACCAUCAUCUGGGAACUUACUUGCUACAAACACUUGAAUGAAUGCCUCCCAACCUGUUGACUCAGAAGCACUGAGAAUGGGCCUGACCAUCUGCAUUUUAGCGGGCCUCUGGGUGAUCCUGAUGUAUGCUCAAGUUUGAGAUCUACUGCUCUAAUUAACUUAUUUAUUUAUAUUUUUUGAGACAGAGCGAGAGCUCUGUUGCCUAGGCUGGAGUGCAGUGGUGUGAUCAUAGCUCACUACAACUUCAAAUGCCUGGGCACAAAAGAUCCUCCCACCUCAGCCCAAGUAGCUGGACUACAGGUGCACACCACCACACUCAGCUUAUUUUUUUUUAAAUAGAGACAGGGUCUCACUAUACUGCCCAGGCUGGUCUCAAACUCCUGGCCUCAAGAGAUCCUCCUGCCUCAGCCUCCCAAAGUGUUGGGAUUACAGGACAGGUGUGUACCACCACGCCAGCCCCCACUCUAAUUUAUUUAUCUAUUUCCCUGUUGACAUUCAAGUUGUUUCCAAUUUUUUGUUACCGGUGCUACCAUACAACCCUUUUUAAGUGCUUUUGCAUCCUGUAAGAACAUCUCUUCUCUCAAAUUUUUCCCGGUUAAUUUUUCAUGUUGACUUUUCCAGAUGAACUCUUCCAGAUGAGUGAGUCUGCUUGUAAAUUCCAGUCUCAGUGGGAUUACAUUGAAUAUAUGCUUUAAUUUGGGAAGGAUUGACAUCUUGACAAUAUUGAGUUUUUCCAUCAAAUAUUGAAAUCCUACAGGAUUUUUAAAGUAUAAGUCACACAAUUAUAUGUAAUUUAGGUAUGCUUUAUUAUUAUCCCAAAUGUAACAAUUGUAGAAGAUACUAUAAUGGUCUUCUCCUUUCACUGAAUUUUAUGAAAUUAGAAACAUAAUAAUGAAGGGUCAAGUGUAUGAUCUUCUUGUUUUUCUUGAGAUUGUCUCAUUUCUUAUGUUGGACUCUCAAUUGUUAUUCAGCUAUGCUUAUGUCUCUUUUUGAGAGCAAAGAAACCUUUCCCAGAAAUCCCCCUAAUAGACUUCCCAUGUUCUCUUGGCUAUGACAGUUUUAACAACGUCGCCCUUAAAUUAUACCCCUCCCUUUGAGACGUGAGGUCUAUACCCUCCCUUGAAUCUGAGCUAGGUGGGUCAAGUUCCUGCUUGACCAAUAAACUAGGACAAAAGUGACACUGCCAGUUUCUUAGGGCUCAGACCAUAAAAAACCAUCAGCUUCUACUUCUUGUCUCUUGGGACACUCACUUUUGGAACCCAGCCAAGCAGGGGUCCCCUGGCCCUCAGCCUAGGCUGGGUGACCAGUCUACAGCUGGCACAACUUGCCAGCCAUGUGAGUGAGCCCUCUUGGAAAUGGGCCCUUCAGUCCCAGUCAUCUUGGCCCACCUGACACCACAUGGCAGAGACAAGUCGUCCUCACUGAUUCCUGCCCCAAUUACAGUUGUGUUGAGCAAAAGAAAUGCUGUUAUUUUAAGUUUUGAAGUAGUUUGUUAGGCUGCAGUAGCUGACUGUGCCAAUGGCACAGCACACUUCGAUGCCUCAACCACUCACUGGUGUGAGGACUGGGACCUCUGUGAAUGACUUAAACCACCCAGAACCCUCCCCCAGAGGGUGGGGCUAGUGCUAUUAAUAGAACUGGGUUAGUUACCCUGUGGCUGGGCACAGUGGCUCACGCCAGUAAUUUCAGCACUUUGGGAGGCCGAGGCUGGCAGAUCACUUGAAGACAGGAGUUUGAGACCAGCCUGGUGGCCAACAUGGCGAAACCCUGUCUUUACUAAAAAUACAAAAAUUAGCCGGGUGAUAUGGCACAUGCCUGUAGUCCUAGCUACUCGAGAGGCUGAGGCAGGAGAAUUGCUUGAACUCGGGAGGUGGAGGUUGCAGUGAGCUGAGAUUGUGCCACUGCACUCCAGCCUGGGCGACAGAGUGAGACUCCAUCUCCCCCAAAAAAAGAAAAAUUAUCCUUGGGACUUUAAGUUGCUCAGCAAGUCAGUAUACAUAGUAUCAUAGUAUUGUGUAUACAACUCUUUACAGUAAUAUGCAUGUAUAAAUGUAUCAUGGAUAUAUAAUGUGUAGUAUGCAAGAAAGAGUGCAUAUUCAACUAUACUUGCACAGUAUUUUUUAUUAAAAACAUCUUGAGCGUGAAUCAUUACAUGACUGUCAAUUAAAUGCAUACAAGAUAAACACCACUGUAAAUGCUAGAAGAAGGACUCAAUCAUUGAAUAAACAAAGGAAUGAGCCUGG